rnacentral:rRNA from 1 species
AGCUCCAGUAGCGUAUACUAACGUUGUUGCAGUUAAAAAGCUCGUAGUUGGAUUUCUGGCUUGCGCGACUGGCCCGCUACCUUAGGGUACGUGAGUGCCGGUUGUCGUUUGCCAUCCUUCCUGAGAGUUGUGCGUACCAUUCAGUUGGCGGCGCGCUACGAUCUGGAUCUUUUACUUUGAAAAAAUUAGAGUGUUUAAAGCAGGCUUACGCCUUGAAUACAUUAGCAUGGAAUAAUAACAUAGGACUUGGGUUCUAUUUUGUUGGUUUCUAGGACCGAAGUAAUGAUUGAUAGGGAUAGUUGGGGGUGCUAGUAUUAAGUGGCCAGAGGUGAAAUUCUUGGAUUCACUUAAGACUAACUACUGCGAAAGCAUUCACCAAGGAUGUCUUCUUUAAUCAAGA